AUGGCGGGUCGGACGGUCGCGGCUCCGCAUGGAGCUGAGGAAAGUCCGGGCACCAAAGGGCAAGGCACUCGUUAAGAGCGAGGCUGUCUGCGGGUGACCGCAGUCAGACGGAAAGUGUCACAGAAACUAUACCGCCAGUCAGCGGGUUGAGGUUACCGCUGGCUGGUAAGGGUGAAAAAGUGCGGUAAGAGCGCACUAUCCGGUAUGGUGACAUACCGGAUGGACAAACCCUGCCUGGUGCAAGACCAAACAGGGAAGAGGACUUGCCCGGUCCGCUAUCAUUCCCGGGUAGGUCGCUGGAGGUGCGCGGGCAACUGCGCAUCCAAGAGAAAUGACCGUCGCUCCGUAAGGAGUACAGAACCCGGCUUACAGACCCGCCUUCGUG
rnacentral:RNase_P_RNA from 1 species